GACGAACGCUGGCGGCGUGCUUAACACAUGCAAGUCGAACGGAAAGGCCCUGCUUUUGUGGGGUGCUCGAGUGGCGAACGGGUGAGUAACACGUGAGUAACCUGCCCUUGACUUUGGGAUAACUUCAGGAAACUGGGGCUAAUACCGGAUAGGAGCUCCUGCUGCAUGGUGGGGGUUGGAAAGUUUCGGCGGUUGGGGAUGGACUCGCGGCUUAUCAGCUUGUUGGUGGGGUAGUGGCUUACCAAGGCUUUGACGGGUAGCCGGCCUGAGAGGGUGACCGGCCACAUUGGGACUGAGAUACGGCCCAGACGCCUACGGGAGGCAGCAGUGGGGAAUAUUGCACAAUGGGCGGAAGCCUGAGGCAGAGGCGCCGCGUGCGGGAUGACGGCCUUCGGGUUGUAAACCGCUUUCGCCUGCGACGAAGCGUGAGUGACGGUAAUGAGUAAAGAAGCACCGGCUAACUACGUG
rnacentral:rRNA from 1 species